rnacentral:rRNA from 1 species
AUACGUAGGGGGCGAGCGUUGUCCGGAAUGAUUGGGCGUAAAGGGCGCGUAGGCGGCCCGGUAAGUCUGGAGUGAAAGUCCUGUUUUUAAGAUGGGAAUUGCUUUGGAUACUGUCGGGCUUGAGUGCAGGAGAGGUAAGUGGAAUUCCCAGUGUAGCGGUGAAAUGCGUAGAGAUUGGGAGGAACACCAGUGGCGAAGGCGACUUACUGGACUGUAACUGACGCUGAGGCGCGAAAGUGUGGGGAGCAAACAGGAUUAGAUACCCUGGUAGUCCACAUUGUAAACGAUGAAUGCUAGGUGUAGGGGGUAUCGACCCCUUCUGUGCCGCAGUCAACACAAUAAGCAUUCCGCCUGGGGAGUACGGCCGCAAGGUUGAAACUUAAAGGAAUUGGCGGGG